rnacentral:misc_RNA from 1 species
GAUGAAGAACGUAGCGAAAUGCGAUAAGUAAUGUGAAUUGCAGAAUUCAGUGAAUCAUCGAAUCUUUGAACGCACAUUGCGCCCGUCAGUAUUCUGACGGGCAUGCCUGUCCGAGCGUCAUUUCAACCCUCAAGCACUGCUUGGCGUUCGCGGAUUGCGUGCCCUCGCGGCGCUGCAACCGCCCAAAUACAGUGGCGGUCCCGCUGCGGCUCCCUUUGCGUAGUAACUCACCUCGCACUGGACCGGGCGGCGGCCUGCCGUAAAACCCCAACUCACGAAAUGUUGACCUCGGAUCAGGUAGGAAUACCCGCUGAACUUAAGCAUAUCAAUAAGCGGAGGA